UACAGAGGUCCCAAGCGUUGUUCGGAUUCAUUGGGCGUAAAGGGUGCGUAGGCGGCGCGGUAAGUCGGGUGUGAAAUCUCGGGGCUUUAACUCCGAAACUGCAUUCGAUACUGUGGUGCUUGAGGACUGGAGAGGAGACUGGAAUUCAUGGUGUAGCAGUGAAAUGCGUAGAGAUCAAUGAGGAAGACCAGUGGCGAAGGCGGGUCUCUGGACAGUUCCUGACACUGAGGCACGAAGGCCAGGGGAGCAAACGGGG
rnacentral:rRNA from 1 species